CCCAUAAGAUCACCGAAGUUAAGCAAUAUUGAGCCUGGUCAGUACCUAGAUGGGUGACCACUUGUGAAUUCCAGGUGAAG